AGCCCAGAGCCUGAAUCAGUGUGUGUGUUAGUGGAAGCGUCUGGAAAGGCGCGCGAUACAGGGUGACAGCCCCGUACACAAAAAUGCACAUGCUGUGAGCUCGAUGAGUAGGGCGGGACACGUGGUAUCCUGUCUGAAUAUGGGGGGACCAUCCUCCAAGGCUAAAUACUCCUGACUGACCGAUAGUGAACCAGUACCGUGAGGGAAAGGCGAAAAGAACCCCGGCGAGGGGAGUGAAAAAGAACCUGAAACCGUGUACGUACAAGCAGUGGGAGCACGCUUAGGCGUGUGACUGCGUACCUUUUGUAUAAUGGGUCAGCGACUUAUAUUCUGUAGCAAGGUUAACCGAAUAGGGGAGCCGAAGGGAAACCGAGUCUUAACUGGGCGUUAAGUUGCAGGGUAUAGACCCGAAACCCGGUGAUCUAGCCAUGGGCAGGUUGAAGGUUGGGUAACACUAACUGGAGGACCGAACCGACUAAUGUUGAAAAAUUAGCGGAUGACUUGUGGCUGGGGGUGAAAGGCCAAUCAAACCGGGAGAUAGCUGGUUCUCCCCGAAAGCUAUUUAGGUAGCGCCUCGUGAAUUCAUCUCCGGGGGUAGAGCACUGUUUCGGCAAGGGGGUCAUCCCGACUUACCAACCCGAUGCAAACUGCGAAUACCGGAGAAUGUUAUCACGGGAGACACACGGCGGGUGCUAACGUCCGUCGUGAAGAGGGAAACAACCCAGACCGCCAGCUAAGGUCCCAAAGUCAUGGUUAAGUGGGAAACGAUGUGGGAAGGCCCAGACAGCCAGGAUGUUGGCUUAGAAGCAGCCAUCAUUUAAAGAAAGCGUAAUAGCUCACUGGUCGAGUCGGCCUGCGCGGAAGAUGUAACGGGGCUAAACCAUGCACCGAAGCUGCGGCAGCGACGCUUAUGCGUUGUUGGGUAGGGGAGCGUUCUGUAAGCCUGUGAAGGUGUGCUGUGAGGCAUGCUGGAGGUAUCAGAAGUGCGAAUGCUGACAUAAGUAACGAUAAAGCGGGUGAAAAGCCCGCUCGCCGGAAGACCAAGGGUUCCUGUCCAACGUUAAUCGGGGCAGGGUGAGUCGACCCCUAAGGCGAGGCCGAAAGGCGUAGUCGAUGGGAAACAGGUUAAUAUUCCUGUACUUGGUGUUACUGCGAAGGGGGGACGGAGAAGGCUAUGUUGGCCGGGCGACGGUUGUCCCGGUUUAAGCGUGUAGGCUGGUUUUCCAGGCAAAUCCGGAAAAUCAAGGCUGAGGCGUGAUGACGAGGCACUACGGUGCUGAAGCAACAAAUGCCCUGCUUCCAGGAAAAGCCUCUAAGCAUCAGGUAACAUCAAAUCGUACCCCAAACCGACACAGGUGGUCAGGUAGAGAAUACCAAGGCGCUUGAGAGAACUCGGGUGAAGGAACUAGGCAAAAUGGUGCCGUAACUUCGGGAGAAGGCACGCUGAUAUGUAGGUGAAGCGACUUGCUCGUGGAGCUGAAAUCAGUCGAAGAUACCAGCUGGCUGCAACUGUUUAUUAAAAACACAGCACUGUGCAAACACGAAAGUGGACGUAUACGGUGUGACGCCUGCCCGGUGCCGGAAGGUUAAUUGAUGGGGUCAGCGCAAGCGAAGCUCUUGAUCGAAGCCCCGGUAAACGGCGGCCGUAACUAUAACGGUCCUAAGGUAGCGAAAUUCCUUGUCGGGUAAGUUCCGACCUGCACGAAUGGCGUAAUGAUGGCCAGGCUGUCUCCACCCGAGACUCAGUGAAAUUGAACUCGCUGUGAAGAUGCAGUGUACCCGCGGCAAGACGGAAAGACCCCGUGAACCUUUACUAUAGCUUGACACUGAACAUUGAGCCUUGAUGUGUAGGAUAGGUGGGAGGCUUGGAAGUGUGGACGCCAGUCUGCAUGGAGCCGACCUUGAAAUACCACCCUUUAAUGUUUGAUGUUCUAACGUUGACCCGUAAUCCGGGUUGCGGACAGUGUCUGGUGGGUAGUUUGACUGGGGCGGUCUCCUCCUAAAGAGUAACGGAGGAGCACGAAGGUUGGCUAAUCCUGGUCGGACAUCAGGAGGUUAGUGCAAUGGCAUAAGCCAGCUUGACUGCGAGCGUGACGGCGCGAGCAGGUGCGAAAGCAGGUCAUAGUGAUCCGGUGGUUCUGAAUGGAAGGGCCAUCGCUCAACGGAUAAAAGGUACUCCGGGGAUAACAGGCUGAUACCGCCCAAGAGUUCAUAUCGACGGCGGUGUUUGGCACCUCGAUGUCGGCUCAUCACAUCCUGGGGCUGAAGUAGGUCCCAAGGGUAUGGCUGUUCGCCAUUUAAAGUGGUACGCGAGCUGGGUUUAGAACGUCGUGAGACAGUUCGGUCCCUAUCUGCCGUGGGCGCUGGAGAACUGAGGGGGGCUGCUCCUAGUACGAGAGGACCGGAGUGGACGCAUCACUGGUGUUCGGGUUGUCAUGCCAAUGGCACUGCCCGGUAGCUAAAUGCGGAAGAGAUAAGUGCUGAAAGCAUCUAAGCACGAAACUUGCCCCGAGAUGAGUUCUCCCUGACUCCUUGAGAGUCCUGAAGGAACGUUGAAGACGACGACGUUGAUAGGCCGGGUGUGUAAGCGCAGCGAUGCGUUGAGCUAACCGGUACUAAUGAACCGUGAGGCUUAACCUUACAACGCCGAAG
rnacentral:rRNA from 1 species